AACGUAGGACGCAAGCGUUAUCCGGAGUUACUGGGCGUAAAGCGCGAGCAGGCGGUACGCAAAGUCUGAUGUGAAAGCGCCCGGCUCAACCGGGCGAGGCCAUUGGAAACUAACGUACUGGAGGGCAGUAGAGGCAGGCGGAAUUCCGGGUGGAGUGGUGAAAUGCGUAGAGAUCCGGAGGAACACCAGAGGCGAAGGCGGCCUGCUGGGCUGCACCUGACGCUGAGCCGCGAAAGCCAGGGGAGCGAACGGG
rnacentral:rRNA from 1 species